UUUAAAUUGAGAGUUUGAUCCUGGCUCAGGACGAACGCUGGCGGCGUGCCUAACACAUGCAAGUCGAGCGAUGA
rnacentral:rRNA from 1 species